rnacentral:rRNA from 1 species
CGAUGGUUCAUUCAAAUUUCUGCCCUAUCAACUUUCGAUGGUAGAGUAGUGGUCUACCAUGGUUUCAACGGGUAACGGGGAAUUAGGGUUCUAUUCCGGAGAGGGAGCCUGAGAAACGGCUACCACAUCCAAGGAAGGCAGCAGGCGCGCAAAUUACCCAAUCCCGACACGGGGAGGUAGUGACAAUAAAUACUGAUACAGGGCUCUUUUGGGUCUUGUAAUUGGAAUGAGUACAAUUUAAAUCCCUUAACGAGGAACAAUUGGAGGGCAAGUCUGGUGCCAGCAGCCGCGGUAAUUCCAGCUCCAAUAGCGUAUAUUAAAGUUGUUGCAGUUAAAAAGCUCGUAGUUGAACCUUGGGCCUGGCUGGCCGGUCCGCCUCACCGCGUGCACUGGUCCGGCCGGGCCUUUCCUUCUGGAGAGCCGCAUGCCCUUCACUGGGUGUGUCGGGGAACCAGGACUUUUACUUUGAAAAAAUUAGAGUGUUCAAAGCAGGCCUAUGCUCGAAUACAUUAGCAUGGAAUAAUAGAA